rfam:Marinitoga piezophila KA3, complete genome.
AAAAACUGCGAAUGAAGAGGGACAAAAAAACAGGAUGUUUUUUUGAGCGAAGCUUCCCCAUGGAUGGGGAAUCUGAGCGCCCCCACGUAUAUGAGCAGUUUUU